ACAGCUUCCUGAACUGUCAGCAGUGAAAUGAAUUUCAAAGAAAGACUCACAGAAGAUUCACCAAAUUUUGCAGUAGGAGAUUUGACAACUUCACUGCUGAUUUUGAGGAAGGGUUUUUUGACCAAUGAAGGUUUGAUUAAGGUAAUGAUUGAUGAAGCUGUGGAUUCAUCAUUAGAAUGCCAGUUUUCAUUUUGAGGUCUCAGCUUUGAAGGCACUGAUCUCUACUCCCUGUGAGCAGGGACAGGACCUGAGGGAGCAGCUCGAGCUGUCUCAGGGAGGUCUGGGCUCGAGAUCAGGAAAAGGUUCUCUCAAAGCUGCUGUUAAGGCAAGUCAGACCCUAAAGGAAAUUUCUGUCUUCAGAUCAUUGCU